rnacentral:rRNA from 1 species
UACGUAGGGUCCGAGCGUUGUCCGGAAUUACUGGGCGUAAAGAGCUCGUAGGUGGUUUGUCGCGUUGUUCGUGAAAACUCACAGCUCAACUGUGGGCGUGCGGGCGAUACGGGCAGACUUGAGUACUGCAGGGGAGACUGGAAUUCCUGGUGUAGCGGUGAAAUGCGCAGAUAUCAGGAGGAACACCGGUGGCGAAGGCGGGUCUCUGGGCAGUAACUGACGCUGAGGAACGAAAGCGUGGGUAGCAAACAGG